CUGGAGUGCAAUUGUCUUCUUCUUUGGCAACUCUUCUUCAUGUUGCUUCAUUGUGAGCUCAUGCGUCAUCAAUGAGCCCAAUAGUUGUUCUAGUCCCAAAGUGUUGAGAUCUUUGGCUUCUAUGAUCGCCGUGACCUUUGCUUCCCAUGCUUUCGGCAAAGACCUGAAAUUUUACUCACAAGUUCCGGAUUAGUAUAGGAUUUACCCAAACUCUAUAGACCAUUAAUUAUAUUGGUGAAGCGUGUAAACAUGCAUGUGAUGGUUUCAUUGGGUUCCAUUUUAAACAACUCAUAUUUGUGAACUAGAAUGUUCACUUUAGAUUCUUUGACUUGAUUUGUACCCUCGUGGGUAACUUCAAGCCUAUCCCAUAUUUUCUUGGCGGAACUACAGGUGGAGACUCUAUUGAACUCAUUUACAUCUAGAGCACAAAAUAAUGAGUUCAUGGCUCUAGAAUUGAGUUGAACCAUCCUACUAUCAUUCUCAUCCCAAUCAUCCUCAGG
rnacentral:lncRNA from 1 species